GAAUAUUGGACAAUGGGCGAAAGCCUGAUCCAGCAAUGCCGCGUGAGUGAUGAAGGCCUUAGGGUUGUAAAGCUCUUUUACCAGGGAUGAUAAUGACAGUACCUGGAGAAUAAGCUCCGGCUACCUCCGUUCCUGCAGCCGCGGUAAUACGGAGGGAGCUAGCGUUGUUCGGAAUUACUGGGCGUAAAGCGUGCGUAGGCGGUUAUUCAAGUCAGAGGUGAAAGCCUGGAGCUCAACUCCAGAACUGCCUUUGAAACUAGAUAACUAGAAUCUUGGAGAGGUGAGUGGAAUUCCGAGUGUAGAGGUGAAAUUCGUAGAUAUUCGGAAGAACACCAGUGGCGAAGGCGACUCACUGGACAAGUAUUGACGCUGAGGCACGAAAGCGUGGGGAGCAAACAGG
rnacentral:rRNA from 1 species